rnacentral:antisense_RNA from 1 species
UAUAAAUACGCUCCUUUGUGCGUGUUAUUAGGAAGCAUAAAGAAAAACUUCUAGCCAGGAUUUUCUUUAUGCUUUUAUUGUACAU